rnacentral:rRNA from 1 species
UACGAAGGGUGCAAGCGUUGUUCGGAAUUACUGGGCGUAAAGAGCGCGUAGGCGGUCUAUUAAAGUCAGGCGUGAAAGUCCCGGGCUCAACCUGGGAAUUGGCGUUUGAUACUGGUAGGCUUGAGAUUCAGAGAGGUGAGUGGAAAUUCCUAGUGUAGCAGUGAAGUGCGUAGAUAUUAGGAGGAACAUCAGUGGCGAAGGCGGCUCACUGGCUGAAUACGUGACGCUAAGGCGAGAAAGCGUGGGGAGCAAACAGG